AAUGAACGUUGGCGGCGUGGAUUAGGCAUGCGAGUCGAGCGAGAACCGUAGCAAUACGGGGACAGCGGCGAAAGGGACAGUAACGGGUAGAUUAUCUGCCCUCCGGUUUGGGAUAGCUGCGGGAAACUGCAAGUAAUACCAGAUAAUAUCUCCGGAUCAAAGGUGUGAUUCCGCCUGAGGAUGAGUCUGCCUCCUAUUAGCUAGUUGGUGGGGUAACGGCCUACCAAGGCGUUGAUGGGUAGCGGGUGUGAGAGCACGACCCGCGUCAUUGGGACUGAGACACUGCCCUGACACCUACGGGUGGCUGCAGUCGAGAAUCUUCGGCAAUGGACGCAAGUCUGACCGAGCGACGCCGCGUGUGGGAUGAAGGCCUUCGGGUUGUAAACCACUGUCAGAGGGGAUGAAAUGCAGGUGGGUUCUCCCAUCUGUUUGACAUAGCCUCAGAGGAAGUACGGGCUAAGUUCGUGCCAGCCGCCGCCGUAA
rnacentral:rRNA from 1 species